UUACAGUAUUACUGCCGAAGACAGCAGGUGCCGUAUGGCGCAACGUAGAUCAACCUGCCGAGGAGAGUAUUAGUUUUAUGCUAAUUAUGCCCUUUGUCUUUGGAGACAGAGGGCUUUUCUUAUUUUU
rnacentral:sRNA from 1 species